CAGUCGCCGCGGUAACACGUAGGGUGCAAGCGUUAAUCGGAAUUACUGGGCGUAAAGCGUGCGCAGGCGGUUAUAUAAGACAGAUGUGAAAUCCCCGGGCUCAACCUGGGAACUGCAUUUGUGACUGUAUAGCUAGAGUACGGCAGAGGGGGAUGGAAUUCCGCGUGUAGCAGUGAAAUGCGUAGAUAUGCGGAGGAACACCGAUGGCGAAGGCAAUCCCCUGGGCCUGUACUGACGCUCAUGCACGAAAGCGUGGGGAGCAAACAGGAUUAGAUACCCGCGUAGUCCCUGUCUCUUAUAC
rnacentral:rRNA from 1 species